GAUUGUCUUUUUUAACUUCAUCAAGGGAGUUGCUUUGGCUUAGAGGUUUAGGAAGUUCCUGUGGACAAGAGCAGUCAGACUCUGAGUCAGAGCACGUUCGGAAAUGACUGCUGUUGGUGACAAUGGCUGAUGUUGACCGCCUCAUUGGAGGUCAUUGUUAACCCUUUAACUCCCAGAAGUUAUUAGUAUGCAACUUCUUCCUAUCAUGUUGAUAAGGUAACUAGAAGACUCAAACUUAUUAGGUAGAAGUUGUUAUCUUAAUCGCACACCAAAUUCUCAUGACUGAUUUACAAGAAAAUGUGUAGCAGCUGGACAGGAGAGUUCACAAUCAGAUCUUGAGAGUUAAGGGGGUUAGCUUUUGCACAGAAGGUCAUCAUCAGACUCCGACUGAGUUGUCAAUGUGCAUGUCAUCACCUAGAACAUUCCUUUUCAGUUAUUACUCUAUCUGUAAUAUUAAAAAAUAAAUAAUUUGUAAUAUUCAAUAUAAUAAUAUGGCACAUUAAUCCUAAAUUCAAAUAGAGCACAGUUGUUUGCACUCUCCCCACUCCCUCCCCUGCCCUCUUCCUUAAAAAUUCCUACAUCUAAACACCUGCGUGUGACUGAAGUAUAAUAUUAGCAUAUAAUAUGAGCAUUCCAAAGUCAGGACCCCCUGUUAAUUCUCAACUCCUAAGAGUGAGGUCGUAAGAAUAAAGGAAUAAUAACAAUGUCAAGAUGCUCGUGAUCAUUAAACAAAUCCUCCUUGUAAGUACCUUUGGAAAUGUAUAGAGAACAGUAUAAAGAAUAUGCAUACUGAUGUUAGGAUGUAAAGGGUUAAUACCCCCUGGUUUUUAAGUAGAGUCUCCACUCAACGUACAGUCUAUGUCUGAAGAUUAUCCUUGAUUAUCCAUCGUGUUAUGGUUGAUGAUGGCACAACAAAUUCAGAAUGGGACAUAUAGAAAUGUCUGGUCAGUUUUCUGCGUUGAGUUUCUGGAUCUGCCAUUCACCCACAUGUAGUGACCUGGAGCUUGUCCGUCUUCGUUGCGAGAGUAAAGCUGAUGAUCUGUAGUGUGCCAUUCUCUGUCACUGUGGUCAAAGAUUUUCAUAUUCGUCUGCUAUGGGAAAUAUUACAACCAACACACUGUAGAAGUUUCCAGUAUUUGCUUAUGAACUUGAUGUGACUUUCGUUUUUUGUUCGAUAAUGAUCAUGCUUUAAAAUAAAAAGCUGUUAUCUUA